rnacentral:rRNA from 1 species
AGUGAACGCUGGCGGUAGGCCUAACACAUGCAAGUCGAACGGCAGCACAGUAAUAGCUUGCUCUUACGGGUGGCGAGUGGCGUACGGGUGAGGAAUACAUCCGAAUCUACUUUUUCGUGGGGGAUAACGUAGGGAAACUUACUCUAAUACCGCAUACGACCUACGGGGGAAAGCAGUGGAUCUUCUGACCUUGCGCGAUUGAAUGAGCCGAUGUCGGAUUAUCUAGUUGGCGGGGUAAAGGCCCAGCAAGGCGAGGAUCCGUAGCCGAUCUGAGUGGAUGGUCGGCCACACUGGAACUGAGACACGUUCCAGACUCCUACGAGAGGCAGCAGUGGGGUAUAGGCGGCAAUGGGCGCAAGCCUGAUCCAGCCAUACCGCGUGGGUGAAGAAGGCCUUCGGGUUGUAAAGCCCUUUUGUUGGGAAAGAACAGCAGCAGGUUAAUACCCCGCUGUUCUGACGGUACCCAAAGAAUAAGCACCGGCUAACUUCGUG